UACGUAGGGUGCAAGCGUUAAUCGGAAUUACUGGGCGUAAAGCGUGCGCAGGCGGUGAUGUAAGACAGAUGUGAAAUCCCCGGGCUUAACCUGGGAACUGCAUUUGUGACUGCAUCGCUGGAGUGCGGCAGAGGGGGAUGGAAUUCCGCAUGUAGCAGUGAAAUGCGUAGAUAUGCGGAGGAACACCGAUGGCGAAGGCAAUCCCCUGGGCCUGCACUGACGCUCAUGCACGAAAGCGUGGGGAGCAAACAGG
rnacentral:rRNA from 1 species